UACGAGGGGGGCUAGCGUUGCUCGGAAUCACUGGGCGUAAAGCGCACGUAGGCGGAUUGCUAAGUCAGGGGUGAAAUCCUGGAGCUCAACUCCAGAACUGCCUUUGAUACUGGCGAUCUCGAGUCCGGGAGAGGUGAGUGGAACUGCGAGUGUAGAGGUGAAAUUCGUAGAUAUUCGCAAGAACACCAGUGGCGAAGGCGGCUCACUGGCCCGGUACUGACGCUGAGGUGCGAAAGCGUGGGGAGCGAACAGG
rnacentral:rRNA from 1 species